rnacentral:rRNA from 1 species
GAUGAACGCUAGCGGCAGGCCUAACACAUGCAAGUCGAGGGGGAAGCCCUUCGGGGCGGAAACCGGCGCACGGGUGCGUAACGCGUAUGCAACCUACCUUUCACAGGGGGAUAGCCCGAAGAAAUUUGGAUUAUACCCCAUAAUAUUAUUGGAUGGCAUCAUUUGAUAAUUAAAAUUACGAUGGUGAAAGAUGGGCAUGCGUCCUAUUAGCUAGUUGGAGUGGUAACGGCACCCCAAGGCUACGAUAGGUAGGGGUCCUGAGAGGGAGAUCCCCCACACUGGUACUGAGACAGGGACCAGACUCCUACGGGAGGCAGCAGUGAGGAAUAUUGGUCAAUGGUCGGAAGACUGAACCAGCCAUGCCGCGUGCAGGAAGAAUGCCUUAUGGGUUGUAAACUGCUUUUAUAUGGGAAGAAUAAGGAGUACGUGUACUUUGAUGACGGUACCAUAAAUAAGCCGGCUAA